rnacentral:rRNA from 1 species
UACGUAGGUGGCAAGCGUUAUCCGGAUUUACUGGGUGUAAAGGGCGUGUAGGCGGGGACGCAAGUCAGAUGUGAAAACCACGGGCUCAACCUGUGGCCUGCAUUUGAAACUGUGUUUCUUGAGUACUGGAGAGGCAGACGGAAUUCCUAGUGUAGCGGUGAAAUGCGUAGAUAUAUGGAGGAACACCGGUGGCGAAAGCGGCUCUCUGGCCUGUAACUGACACUGAGGCUCGAAAGCGUGGGGAGCAAACAGG